UGGGGAAUAUUGGGCAAUGGGCGAAAGCCUGACCCAGCAACGCCGCGUGAGGGAAGAAGGCCUUCGGGUUGUAAACCUCUGUCCUUGGUGACGAAAAAAAUGACGGUAGCCAAGGAGGAAGCCCCGGCUAACUACGUGCCAGCAGCCGCGGUAAUACGUAGGGGGCGAGCGUUGUCCGGAAUUACUGGGCGUAAAGGGUGCGUAGGUGGCCUUUUAAGUUGGAUGUGAAAUACCCGGGCUUAACUUGGGGGGUGCAUCUAAUACUGGAGGGCUAGAGCGCAGGAGAGGGAAGCGGAAUUCCUAGUGUAGCGGUGAAAUGCGUAGAUAUUAGGAGGAACACCAGUGGCGAAGGCGGCUUUCUGGACUGUAACUGACACUGAGGCACGAAAGCGUGGGGAGCAAACAG
rnacentral:rRNA from 1 species